GCAGAAUAAGCAGGCACACCCAAAACAAACACUUCGAAACCACAGGACACCACAACCCAGUGGGCCCGAGUCAAUGUUGUUCGAGCUGUGGAUCUAACAGUAGUAAAGUGAGAAUUUGAUGAGCGAUCUCCCCAACGUAUAUUGUGCCUAACUUUCUCUGCCCGACCUUCUUUCUCCAGGCUAGAACAGAUCCCACCAGAACUGCUAAGCUUCUCAACGAGAUUUUGAAAUGUGUUGCUAAUAGACCAAUGGAUAAGCAAGCAAACAAACAACAGUCGUGAAAAUAAUUGCCUGAUCUCACAAUCUGUGGUGGAGUUAAAUGUAUAUUUACAAUAAAAAUAGUGUAAAAUAUAAA